AGCUUUGUGAAGUGGCAGUAUUGUAGCCAGUGAGGUUUAUCCAAGGCACGAUUAUUGCUGACUGAGAAGGUUAGCCUCAUAAGUCCCUCGAUAGUCAGAAAAUCCACUGGUCAUACAAAUGUGAGUAUUCUGGUUACUCAAUUAUUUCACAAAUGAA
ensembl:snRNA U4 U4 spliceosomal RNA